CACGUAGGGCGCGAGCGUUGUCCGGAAUUAUUGGGCGUAAAGAGCUCGUAGGCGGCCUGUUGCGUCCGCUGUGAAAGCCCGGGGCUUAACCCCGGGUCUGCAGUGGAUACGGGCAGGCUAGAGGUAGGUAGGGGAGAAUGGAAUUCCCGGUGUAGCGGUGAAAUGCGCAGAUAUCAGGAGGAACACCGGUGGCGAAGGCGGGUCUCUGGGCAAUAACUGACGCUGAGGAGCGAAAGCGUGGGGAGCGAACAGG
rnacentral:rRNA from 1 species